AUGCUGUGCGUUGUUAAGUUAACCGUCUCAUCAACUGCUUGGUUACGCAGGGAGACACCUCACACAGGAGAGAGGAAUGCUUCACUAGGCCCAUUAAUAAACCAAAAAAGCCACAGAGGCACCGCCUGGCCCAGGCUCUGCCAUCAAGUGACAUUAUCAGUGGGCCAGACCGUGCCUGCGACUCGCUGGAAGAAAUGGGGAGCCGAGCCCCAGCACCAGGCCUCAUCCCCAGGCUGGGGGCUGCUGAGGCUGUGGUGGCCUGGACCAGGCACGGAGAGAGCCCGGGUCCCUCCCCGCCUGCUGGGCUUGGCCUCGGCACGUCUUGGUCCGCUGGAGGCCAGCGGUGCCGCAGCUCCCAGGAAGCCCAGGCGAAUCCUCGCGGCACAAGGGCAAGGCAGCUCUGUUUCUGCCAGAGCUCAGGCUCAGGCUCGGUCUCGGCAGAGGGACCCCACACACCGAACUGUUCUGGGCACAGGGGACACCCCCUUGUGUCUUUUCCUGAACUCUCCUCUGGCCUGGACGCGCUCUGGCUCCCAAGGACGUGCGGUGAGAGGCAGACGGCAGAGAAGGGUGCUACGAACUCGACAAGACUCAUCUCACAUCCGAUCGGCAGAGAAGGAGCUGGAAGGCGGGGAGGGCGGUGAAGAGGAUGGGGCGCCAGGCGCGCGGCCUCGCUCCCACGCUCACACCUGUGAGAUGCUGCUGGCCAGACGGAACGACACUCGUUUUGCUCUUUCGUUCUCCUGGAAGAAGAUCAGACCACUUGGAAUCAGCAGGGCCCGGUGUCAGGUUCGCCAGCGGGGAAAGGCCACUGUCACCUGGGAGCCAGGGCCGGCACUUUCUCCCACCCCCAGGAUGCAGGCGCAAGAUGCGCUGACGCCACGAGGCGCUGGGGGCCGAGUGUGGGCACCCCAGGGACGGCGGUCAGAGCCCGGCCUGCUGGCCGGGGGCUCGGGGCCUGCGCAGGCGGACAGACAGAAGGUCGGGGCGCUCCUUCCUUCUCUGUGCCAGGAGGCUGCGGGCCUCUCUCUCCCCCAAACCCAAGCUGAGAUCAAGAAACCGAGCCCAGGCUAUUCUCUCGGGGUGUCACAGUGUGGACUGACCAGCUCCAGCUGCAGCCUCAGGCCGGGCUUCUCACCCCACUUCUGCUGCUCUUUUGUGGGGUGACCCUGGGCAGGCCCGGCCACCCCCUGAGUUCCGGGCCCCGGGGGUAACUGGGGAAGCUGCGCCCCACACAGCCUUGCCUGCCCCUGGGCUAAGGGGCUGGCAGGGAGGGUUGGCCGGCACCUCUGCUGUGAAGGGAGCGGCCUCUCUCCUGCUCGCUCUGUCCUGCCGCCCACCCGCCAGCAGCAGCUCUUGGCAGCAGCUCCUACCAUGUGCCGUCGCCGCCUCUUGGGCUGGAUGCCCUCCUGCACGUAGUGGGGCCACGGGAAGCCCUGGGGCGUGGAGUAGCCACUCUCGCUGGACACCUCCUCGGAGUCCGAGUCCUCCUGCCUGGGCUGAGCAAACCGCUUCUCCGGGUAGAUCUCCUUCAACCAGCCUUCAAAGAACACUUCCAGGCAGCGCCCUGCCUCUGCCACCUCGGAGUCGGGCUGCAGGGGGACGGGACGGUGAGUGGCUGGCCCCGCUCCUCCAGGCCCCCAGGAGCUGCAGGGCGCACGAGGCCUGCCCUGCCUCCCGGCUGCCUGGGGCUCGCGUGUCCUCAUCUCCCAUCAGCUCCUGAGGCGGAGCUACCCCCGGACGGACGGCCAGCCCCGCGCACCCCGCCAACCAGGAGGGAGAGCUUGCUUAUAAACGCCCACGGCCGUAGGCCCAGAAGGUCUGCUCCCAGGGCCUCACUGGCAGCCCGGGCCCAAAGCGGACAUCCCUGUCUGGCCCCAAGAGUCUUGGGGUCCCUGGAAACAGGGCAGCGGGAGAAGGAGGAGACGUACGUAAUUGAACUUCGCGCAGUUCCAGAACAUGAGGCGGACGUCGGACACCACCUCCUCGGGCGUGGUGUAGUGAGCGGGGUCCUUCUUCUGCAGCUUCCUCCGGAUAAUCGACAGGUCCAUGGGCCUCUUGAUAAUCUGGUAGUAAUGGCGGGCCUUGGGGGGGGAGGGGAGGGG
rnacentral:lncRNA from 1 species